AAGACAUGAGAUUCUGCCCUGGACCUGAAAUGGUCACCAGGCUCUUCUUCUGGGUGGCUCUUUGUCUCCUGUGGGCAGGAAACCUGGAUGCCCGAAUCACCCAGAGCCCAAGAUACAAGGUUGUGGGGACAGAAAAGAAUGUGACACUGAGUUGUCACCAGACUAAUAACCACGACGUUAUGUACUGGUAUCGCCAAGACCUGAGCCAUGAGCUGACGCUGAUCUAUUACUCAGUUGGUGCUGGGAUCACCGCCAAAGGAGAUGGUGCUGAUGGGUACAGUGUCUCUAGAUCAAAUACAGAGAACUUUGCCCUCACAUUGGAGUCAGCGACACCCUCACAGACAUCUGUGUACUUCUGUGCCAGCCGUGAAUCCACAGCAUUGCAGGGCCACCUCCUCUCAGUACAAAAAGGCAGGGGGAGGCCCUGCACCAUGGACUUAGGGGAGCACUAAACAAACUUCACACCAUGGAGC